AAACCUCAGUUGGUAUAGCCUCAGACUUUUAAUCUGAGGGUCCAGGGUUCAAGUCCCUGU
rnacentral:tRNA from 1 species